AUGGUAUCAACCAGGCAGAAAACCGUGGCCUCCGCAUCUCGUGCGGCAUCUCCAGCCACGGUCACCAGUGUGGCUACUCAGACGGAGGGCUCGGGGAAACACGCAGCCGUCCAGGUCCUGGGCUGCAGAGUGUGCCCCAGCCUUCUGUCGGCCUCCGACAGCAGUGGUGGGUAUGCCUGUGGGAGGUGUGCCCAGGUUGAAGAACUGCUCAGCCAGGUAGCGGUGCUCCGGGAGGAGGUGAACAGGCUCAGGAGCAUCAGGGAAUCAGAGAUGGAAAUUGACUGGUGGAGGUGCACUCUACCCUCUCUGAGGCAGGCUCACGAGCCUGCCACAGCACAGGCGUCUCCUGUUAUGCAGAAGACGGAGGUUCCCUCCUCCUGCCAGGCAGCGGGAGGAGACCUAGAUCAAGGGGGGGAAUGGAGGCAGGUGCCUAUUCGGGGUGGUAGGCGAGCCCUCUCUCUGCCCACCUCACCUUCUCAUCUACCCUUAAAUAAUCGAUACGAAGGACUAGAACAAGACAAUCUGAAUGACAAAGUAGAUAAAAACCCGUCCCAGUUGGAGGGGGCGCCUAAGACAAGGCGACCUACACAUCGCAUUGCCACAUCAUCCUUCAAAAAAGAAAGAAGGGCUAUUGUUAUGGGGGGCUCCCUUCUGAAAGGGACAGAGGGACCGAUAUGCCGACCGGACCCAACCCGCAGAGAAGUCUGUUGCCUCCCUGGGGCUCGGGUGAGAGACUUUGCCAAGAAAGUCAAGCGCCUGGUACGGCCCACUGACUACUACCCGCUACUGGUCUUUCAGGCUGGUAGCGAUGAAGUAGCAAUGAGAAGUCCGAAGGCGAUCAAAAGAGACUUUAGGGAUUUGGGGCGACUACUUAGAGGAUCAGGGGCGCAGGUUGUGUUUGCCUCUGUCCUUCCGAUAGGGGGGAUCGAAGCUGAAAGGCGUGCUGUUCACAUAAACUCGUGGCUUCGAGACUGGUGUGACCGGCAGAACUUUGGGUUCUUUGAUCACGGGAAGGUCUAUGCUACAUCGGGCCUGAUGGCACCGGAUGGGAUGCGCCUCUCUCAGAGAGGGGUAAGGAUCUUUGGUCAGGAGUUGGCAGGGCUGAUAGAUAGGGCUUUAAACUAG
rnacentral:lncRNA from 1 species